rnacentral:sRNA from 1 species
AAAAAGAAAGGCUAUU